UGCUCAGAAUUAUCACUGGAGAAUUUCAAAACGCGACGACCAAGAUGAUAAACAGAACUUCGUAUCACGUCUCGUGGUCUCGUGAAAUCAUAUAAUUUUCGUUUCUAGAUAUAGUGCCAUUGAGAAGCCCGAGAAUAUUAAUUUAAAAACCAGACCGCUCGACGAUGGAGCUCAAUGAGCUGGAACGAUCUGUGAAACAACUGGGUGUAGUGCUUGACGAGUUUCCGAUCGGUGCGAUAUCACUGGAUGACUUUAAGCCGAUCGAGGAGAAGAUCCGGGAGACCAGGGAGUCACUGAAGCACCUGAACGCCAGGUCGUUGAUGCUUAGAGCAAAAUACAAACAAUACAUUGACACUGAACGCGAAGGAAGUGAGGAUGAUGCUGAAGACGCAUUGUUGAGCGUUGUGAGCGACACUCUCUUAAAUGCCAAGACUGUCAAGUUGUGCCUUCACAGUACCACCAUUCAAUCCAUCCUCAACAAUAAGGAAGGCAAUGCCGAGGAUCAAAAGAAGCUCUAUACUUACAUGAAUAAACUGUUCACUCUCAAUGACAAUGUUAUGGCCAUUCAGAAAGAGAUCGAAAAAGCAUCUCAGGAGCAGUUGGACCUAAAAUUCGAAUGUCAGAAGGCGUUGUUUGAUCAUAAAAAUUUUCUCAAGGAGCAGGAGCGGCUGCAAAGUGAAAGAUUGCAAAAGACUUACCCUGAGAUUGUAGAAAAUAAAGAUAAAAUGGAAAGAACCAUACGGAAAAUUAAUAUAAUGAAGAAACUCAUUAGGAACUUUAUAGCAGUAUCCAGUCACAUGCUAGAGAAGGAGCCUAUACUAGUGGAAAUGUUGGAAAGACACAGGGACUUGUUAAACGUCGAAACAAUAAUGAAAAUGUCACAGAGUAAUGAAGAGAAUACGCAUGACCACAUUUAUCGCUGUGUACACCGCUUUUCGAUCAACGAGCCAAUGGAAUGAAAGACACCGAGAAUAUAUCGGUCCUGGCCCGAUCCUUCUACUCAUCAAUUUACAAAUAUACAAAAAAAAGAAGAAAAGGAAAUGUGUCUUUCGAGCGGAGAUGGUCGUUUUAGAUUACAAGCCUUAAUUCCCAUUUUAAAUGUGUUUGCAACAAUCGUUCUCUCCGUGUAAGUUCGACAGCGGCGGUGGCGUUGGUGUCGGUGUCAUCGUGAUGGUAGUGUGCAGCACCGAGUCUCGUGAUGCAGAUCGGCUGCCGACACGCAGUAGGGUGACGGCUUCUCUCUCAGGAUCAGCGCCACCUGCGAUACCACCUGCUGUACCUGUGCCCGUACGUGCUCCCGUUCCUGCGCCCCGCUUGCCAGUCCUUGACGUCGUGGCGACAGCUUCCACGGUCUCGUCGGCACUAUUACCCGCGCACUGCACCGCCCCCCCGAGACCAACGGUAACGGACAGUCAUUUCUGCCUUCCACUUUUCUUCUUCUUGCGCUUGAAGAAGCAACAGCAUCUGGAAAUGAAGCAAACACUAAUAGGACUUAGAGUCAUCUCCUUAGCAGCGUCUUUCGUUGAUCAACACAUCGAGCAUGCAGCAAAAAUGAGAUAGUUGCAUUUGGCAUACGAUUGUAUGAUAUA
rnacentral:misc_RNA from 1 species